rnacentral:misc_RNA from 1 species
GGAAAAGGACAAACUAACGUCGCCCACAUGCUGUUGCUACAUUGCAGACGGAUGUGGGCCCUGCCGGACCACGAAUUCAGGAGAGCACUCGGCCCAUCCCUCCUCCAGGUCCGGAGCGCCCGCCGCCGGGGGUCUCGCUCUCGCCGCGCGCGUCAUCCACCACGCCGCAACUGCGAGCACCGCAGCCUCCGCUCCACCGCCGGCGCGGACCUCCGACCAGCGCGCGGCGGCCAUCGCGACGCGGAGCGGGACGCGACGACGGCACGCGGGCCCCGCCGCGACCCUCUUCCUCCUGGCCCACCCCCCCUCCAGCACG